AUUGAACGCUGGCGGCAUGCCUUACACAUGCAAGUCGAACGGUAACAGGUCUUCGGAUGCUGACGAGUGGCGAACGGGUGAGUAAUACAUCGGAACGUGCCCGAUCGUGGGGGAUAACGAAGCGAAAGCUUUGCUAAUACCGCAUACGAUCUACGGAUGAAAGCAGGGGACCGCAAGGCCUUGCGCGAACGGAGCGGCCGAUGGCAGAUUAGUUAGUUGGUGGGAUAAAAGCUUACCAAGCCGACGAUCUGUAGCUGGUCUGAGAGGACGACCAGCCACACUGGGACUGAGACACGGCCCAGACUCCUACGGGAGGCAGCAGUGGGGAAUUUUGGACAAUGGGCGAAAGCCUGAUCCAGCCAUGCCGCGUGCAGGAUGAAGGCCUUCGGGUUGUAAACUGCUUUUGUACGGAACGAAAAGACUCUGGUUAAUACCUGGGGUCCAUGACGGUACCGUAAGAAUAAGCACCGGCUAACUACGUG
rnacentral:rRNA from 1 species